UCCCCAUUUCAUCUACAUCAGAGACUCAAGCACAGAAUAUCACUGCACUGCUCUGAAGCCAUUCAUAUCUAUACAAAAUUUAUAUUUCAAAACUCCUGGAAAAACAAUGUUCAUUCUAUACGUUAUUGACCCACAAGACCUUUGGGAAAAAAUCUGGGUUCAACUUCUACGCACUUCAUAGGAUUAUAGGAGUCGUUCAAAGCAUUUUCAUGAUCCAGAGCUUGUAUUUUUUUAUAUACAGAUAUACAAGAGAAGGUCCAAUCAAAUUUGAAUCUGAAAGACGCUUGCAAAGCUUAA
rnacentral:misc_RNA from 1 species